GACGAACGCUGGCGGCGUGCCUAACACAUGCAAGUCGAACGGAACUACUUUGAAGGAUUCCUUCGGGAUGACGGAUUUUUAGUUUAGUGGCGGACGGGUGAGUAACGCGUGAGUAACCUGCCUUUGAGAGGGGGAUAACGUUCUGAAAAGAACGCUAAUACCGCAUGACACAGAGAAACCGCAUGGUAAUUCUGUCAAAGAUUUUAUCGCUCGAAGAUGGACUCGCGUCCGAUUAGUUAGUUGGUGAGGUAACGGCUCACCAAGACCGCGAUCGGUAGCCGGACUGAGAGGUUGAACGGCCACAUUGGGACUGAGACACGGCCCAG
rnacentral:rRNA from 1 species